rnacentral:tRNA from 1 species
AAGAUUUUAAGUUAAAAAAACUAAUAGCCUUCAAAGCUAUAAUUAAAAAUAUUUUUUAAAUCUUA